CAUGACCUCAUGAUGGCACCUUGACUUCUCUGACUCUCUGACCUCUCUGAUUUAGUCUGAUUCUCUUGUGUGUACUGGAGUGACGGAGGCGUGCCACGCCCACCUCAACUCCUGCUUCCAGCUACUUCCAGAAAGGUAGCCUGCUUCAUAAUGACCUUGAGGGUCAUGUGUGCCAACUUCUUUCCUUCCUUUUCCUAUGGUGCCUUUGAGUUAAGUCCCUCCGGAAACUGAUGCUCUCCAAGUCUUGGGAUGAGAGUCCCUGCUGGUCCCUAAAGCUUCCACUGAGUUCAUCUGCAUGAUAGUUCAAUGCCUAUUAAGAGACAUCAGAACUUGGAGAACUUUGGCAUCCUGAGAGCCACAGCUCGUGCUUCUAAGAGGCUAAUGUUAACCAGAGAAACUUCUGGAAGGACCACAAGAUAUAGGACCCAAGACCCA